UCCAGACUCCUACGGGAGGCAGCAGUGGGGAAUAUUGCACAAUGGGGGAAACCCUGAUGCAGCGACGCCGCGUGAGUGAGGAAGUAUUUCGGUAUGUAAAGCUCUAUCAGCAGGGAAGAAAAUGACGGUACCUGACUAGGAAGCCCCGGCUAACUACGUGCCAGCAGCCGCGGUAAUACGUAGGGGGCAAGCGUUAUCCGGAUUUACUGGGUGUAAAGGGAGCGUAGACGGCUAAUCAAGUCAGAAGUGAAAACCCAGGGCUCAACCUUGGGAGUGCUUUUGAAACUGAGUAGCUAGAGUGCAGGAGAGGUAAGCGGAAUUCCUAGUGUAGCGGUGAAAUGCGUAGAUAUUAGGAGGAACACCAGUGGCGAAGGCGGUCUGCUGGACAGCAACUGACGGUGAGGCGCGAAAGCGUGGGGAGCAAACAGGAUUAGAUACCCCAGUACA
rnacentral:rRNA from 1 species